GUGCUUAUACAUAUAAGUGGCUAAAUGAUGUACGUAAGAGACAUCACUGGAAUCGAAUAAUUACACCUGGCUGAUGUGAGCUGGGUGAAAUAAGAACCCCGACAAGUGGAAUAAAACUCUCCAGCGCACCGGUCAAUCACGGUAGCGUCUAUAUAUAACGCCCCUGAUAACCUGCUUGGCGGCUGACUGGCGACUGCACAUACAGUUCUGUCUUGUACCCGCGUGAACGCGUGUGGGACUAAUUCACCUUCGGAUUUCCAUACUACUUGAUAUUAACUAUGGCUGACAGUGACACAGUGUAUUUAAUCGAAGUUCCUCCGAACAGGCCGGAGAAGCAGGAUAAGCAGGAGGAGCCGGAGAAGCCGAGGUGUCUGAGAAUGGCUGACCCUCAGAUCGUGUGGAGUACCAAGUAGGUAUCUCAAGAAGGUAGCUCAACCGAACCAGCAGGAGAAUCCGAAGAAACCGAAUAGAAAUAACUGAGUUUCCUAAGUCAAAAAUAAAUUCUUUCGACUUUUCAAUACAAUAAAUCUGUAGAAGGGUCAAUUCUGUACAUUGAAAAUAUUGAAAAAAUAAAUAGCAAUUUACCGAAAAAAUCACUAUUUUUCAAUAUUUUCACUUAGGGGUUUAACCCCCCAUUUUUAUUUGUCGAUAAAAUUAAAUGUAGUACUCAGCCUUAACGGGUUAGAAGUCUGACCCCUAUCACAUUGUAUAUCAUAUAGUUUAUAAGAAAAAUUAUAAUGUGUUUGACUAGUAGAAAACUAGCUUCUUUUGAAUUAAAUAUAUCGUUUAAAGGACCCCUUACGUGCCCUUACCCCUUACUGCCGCAAUGAGAGUCAUUUAAUGAGUAACGACUUUAUUCCGAUAUAAAUAAAUAUAAACAAUAUUGAGGACUUAAUGAAUACGGCGGUUAGUCGUAAAAAACUUUUUUUGUAUUUCUUUAACCGACGAAUGUUGCACACCUUUUAGUACUGAGAUAACAUACAUACAUACAUACAUACAUAUCGUCACGCCUUUAAUCCCCGAAGGGGUAGGCAGAGGUGCACAUUAUGGCUCGUAAUACCACUGUGUACACCCACUUUUCACAAUUUAUAUUGUGAGUCCCAUGUAAUAGGUGGUGAGCCUAUUGCCAUUACCGGGCACAUUUCCAGACUCCAUGUUACCACUGAGAAAUUUUCGAAAAACUGAAUAAAGCCCAGUGAUACUUCGCCCGACCCGGGAAUCGAACCCGAGACCCCUUGCCCGGCAGUCGCAGUUGCAACCACUCGGCCAACGAGGCAGUAAUUUAAUCGCCUAAUCGGAUGUGUAGGUGUACUGUACGCACUUUGUAUGCAUUGUAUUUUUCUAAACAAAUAAAUGUUAUUGAUUACAAUACGUC